rnacentral:rRNA from 1 species
GACGAACGCUGGCGGCGUGCUUAACACAUGCAAGUCGAACGAAGUGGCGAACGGGUGAGUAACGCGUAAUCAACCUGCCCUUCAGAGGGGGACAACAGUUGGAAACGACUGCUAAUACCGCAUACGGAAGGAGGGGAUUGCGUCUGAUUAGCUAGUUGGGGGGGUAACGGCCCACCAAGGCGAUGAUCAGUAGCCGGUCUGAGGGGAUGAACGGCCACAUUGGGACUGAGACACGGCCCAGACUCCUAAGGGAGGCAACAGUGGGGAAUUGUCCGACAUGGACGAAAGUCUGAAGGAGCAACGCCGCGGGAGGGAUGACGGCCUUCGGGGUGGAAAGCUCUGUUAAGCGGGACGCGGUACCGGAAGAGAAAGCAACGGCUAACUACGUGCCAGCCGCCGCGGUAAUUC